UCUGGGUAUGAUGGCUCAUGCCUGUAAUCCCAGCACUUUGGGAGGCCAAGAAGGGAGGAUCGCUUGAGCCCAGGAGUUUGAGACUGGCCUGGGCAAGAUGGUGAGACCCCAUCUCUACAAAAAAUACAAAAAUUUUCUGGCCAUGGUGGUGUGCACCUGUAGUCCCAGCUACUCUGGAGGCUGAGGCAGGAGGAUCGACUGAGCCCUGGAGUUGGAGGCUAUAAUGAGGUAGGAUUAUACCACUGUCCUCCAGCCUGGGAAACAGAGCAAGACCCUCUCUCUUUUUUUAAAAAAAAAAAAAGUCUAAACUUUUAAUGCUAACAGCAAGACUAGAUGAGACCUCCCACUCCACACACACAUUGGCAAUGUAGACUCUGCUUGGAAAGUAAUCAUUAUUUCCUCUACUUUUAUGGAAGUUGGUCGCUUAGUGGAACAGAAGAGAGAUUUUUUUCCAAGCAGACACAAAGACUCCCUCCCCUCAUGCUUAAUGAGAUAACCUACUUCAACACUGAGGCUUGGCCCCCACCACGCAGAGACAUUGCCACAUCAAAGACAUGAAUCUCUGUGGCAGGAGUGUGCACCUCUUCCUUCUCCAUGCAAACCCUGAUGCGAGAGGCAACUACCAUUCCCACCUGAACACUUACUUAUCUUCCCACACACUCAAAAGGUAGCGGACUGGGUUUCUUCUGCAUUAUUCUGAGAAAGUGGUUAAGCAGAAAACAGCCCUGACAAAGGCACUGGCAUGGCACCCCUGGUUUUUCAGUCACUGACCCUGAAGCAGGGUUUUCUAAGCAUGACCAUCUGCUGUGAAUAAGGUACCAGCACCCAAGGAAGUGAAAUUCCUUCAAGCCACAAAUCAGUUAAAUGGCCUAGUCUGAAAGGAUACAGAACCCAUCAGGUAGCUUAAGAAAGCAGGAAGCUAAACAGUCACAAAAGCCUUAGUUUUCAUAAUUUAAAGGAAGCCUGCACCAUGCCAGUAGCUGUAUUAUCCAGUGUGAGUUGUAGCAAUAUCUGAGAGUUGUCAGGGUGCCGGUCACCUCUCAUCCCUGAAACUUAUGACUCAAUCCUAAGUUCCAGGCAGCCACACUGGCAGGUAUAUCUGUCAGGGCUAAGACCAGCAGCCUGACUACCUG
rnacentral:lncRNA from 1 species